rnacentral:lncRNA from 1 species
AUCAAACUUAGACCUUGAAUUCCUGAUAGUUUUCCUCCACCCCUGGAGUGCUCGGAUAAGGGCUGUGCUCCCCACCAGUUGACUCACACCCCAGUUUCAUCAACCAUGACCUUCCAGGUCUGUGACUGUAUCUUUCCGAACCAGAAGGGCAGGGCUGGGUCUGACUAAUUGCUGGGGCCGGGACCAGGGCCGGCGACACACUAGCCCGGAAGAACAGGUUCCAAAUGGUUGCUGGAUGCCUCUUUCAGAAUCAGUUUCUUCUGAUUCUGGCCUCUGCCCUGUGUUCUCGCCAUCUAACGAAUGCUUCGAGCCUCCUUCGCAUAGACUGAUCCCUUUGCCUGGAGUGCCUCGCCCACUGAGCCUUCCUUCCUGGCAAGAUCCUCUUCCUGCCUCAGGACCUGGCCCUGCUCCGCCCAUCACCUCUGAUGCCCUGUGAUGUGAUGUCAACUUGUCAGAAUCCAGAGUCACCUCGGUGACAGGCUUCUGGACAUACCUAUGAGAGUGGCUCCAUGUAGAUUUAACUGAGAUGGCUGGCCUUGAAUUCAAGACUCCCCCGUGUCAGCUUACCAGUGGCGGGGACGACAGGCUCAUGGCACCUCAUCCGGCUCAAUCCUUUGCGUCGAACACGCAAAAGCUGGCGUGAGGGGCAGAACUCAGACGCUUCCCUCUGCCGUUCCCUGUGCCCAGUGGAUAAUCUCCAGAGACGAGUAGUCAGCUUUGUUGUCCCUCCUGCAGCCUCUCCACCUGCCCGUUUCCCAUCAAGAAAGGUCACUGAAGACAGAGUUAAGGGAGCUGGGCAUAGUGGCCCAG